UCCCAGAAAAAAACAUAUUAAUUUGUGCUGCAGCACGUCUGGUUUUCAGCCAAACAAAAACAGAAUGUCACCCUGCUGUUCAGAUCACUUCACUGACUUCCAGUUGCUGCCUGCAUAAAAUUCAAACCUCUGACACUUGCAUUCAGAAUGACAAUGAAAACAGCUCCCUCCUACCUGGGGCCUAUUUCACGAAGCAGGUUUUACAAACUCUGAGUUUCUUCCACAACUCUGAGUUGAUCUACUCUGAGAUAGAAAACUCUGAGUUUUCGGUUUUACAACGGCUGAUUUGAGUUGGGUUAAUCAACUCGGAGUAGUUUGACCCGGAGUUACGCGCGUGCACCGCAAGUCUGAAAAGACAGCAUCAAUGGAACCCCGAUUCGACGAGUCACCAUGGAAACGGGGAAGCGCAAGGCUGCGUUUUUGAACUGGAAGUUUUUAACGCGCUCAUAUGGCGAGUUUGAACACGUUUUUAGAAAGAAGUGCAACACCGCUGCAGCUGCAAAAGAAGGGGAGACAGCGUGGAGAACAGCCCGGAUCGAUGCGAUGAAGAGGAUGAAACUGUGUCUGCUGCCUUUACAGAGGGGGAUCCAGAAAGGCAUAUAGAGAGCAUGGCUGGACAGCAGCAGGAUGGUCCCUCAUCUUCCACUGCACAGACUGACACAGUGAGAUGGAUGUUCAGGAAACACCAGAGCUUCAUUCUGUGGAAUUCAUGUGCAACUGUAUAAUUGAAUGUCCUCUAUGCAUUCCCAGUUAUCAAUAAAACAGAUUUACAAACUGCAUUUGCUGAGAAAAAUACAAAAAAACAGAUUAGGAGGGCAGAUCUGGAAAUUGAAAUACUGGAGCACAAGUUAGAGGUGGGUGAUGGUCACAGGUGAAUUAUGUUAACUAUUGGAACAUUAACUGAACUAUCUUUUAUUUGUAGGGAAUAAAGA